CAGGAGGUGGUUUAAGUAAAAUAUUAAUUUUGGGGAUUAAAGAUAGGGUAUGUUGCCUUUUUCCUGA
rnacentral:tRNA from 1 species